rnacentral:tRNA from 1 species
GGCUCUGUGGUGAAAUUCAUGUUGAGUUGCAAGCUCAUCGAUGCACGGUGAAAGUGCCAGAGCCU